CCUACGGGGGGCUGCAGUGGGGAAUAUUGCACAAUGGAGGAAACUCUGAUGUAGCAACGCCGCGUGGAGGAUGACACAUUUCGGUGCGUAAACUCCUUUUAUGUGAGAAGAUAAUGACGGUAUCACAUGAAUAAGCACCGGCUAACUCCGUGCCAGCAGCCGCGGUAAUACGGAGGGUGCAAGCGUUACUCGGAAUCACUGGGCGUAAAGCGCGCGCAGGCGGCUUUGUAAGUUGGAUGUGAAAUCCUAUGGCUCAACCAUAGAACUGCAUCCAAAACUACUUAGCUAGAGUCUGGGAGGGGAAGAUGGAAUUAGUGGUGUAGGGGUAAAAUCCGUAGAGAUCACUAGGAAUACCAAAAGCGAAGGCGAUCUUCUGGAACAGUACUGACGCUGAGGCGCGAAAGCGUGGGGAGCAAACAGGCUUAGAUACCCCGGUAGUC
rnacentral:rRNA from 1 species